GAUGAGCGCUAGCGGCAGGCUUAAUACAUGCAAGUCGUGGGGCAGCAGGGGUAGCAAUACCCGCUGGCGACCGGCAAACGGGUGCGGAACACGUACACAACCUUCCUUAAAGUGGGGAAUAGCCCAGGGAAACUUGGAUUAAUACCCCGUAAUAUUAUUAGAUGGCAUCAUUUGAUAAUUAUAGCUCCGGCGCUUAAAGAUGGGUGUGCGGCUGAUUAGGUAGUUGGCGGGGUAACGGCCCACCAAGCCUACGAUCAGUAACUGGUGUGAGAGCACGACCAGUCACACGGGCACUGAGACACGGGCCCGACUCCUACGGGAGGCAGCAGUAAGGAAUAUUGGUCAAUGGACGCAAGUCUGAACCAGCCAUGCCGCGUGGAGGAUGAAGGUCCUCUGGAUUGUAAACUUCUUUUAUCUGGGAAGAAACCCAAGGUUUCUACUUUGGUUGACGGUACCAGAUGAAUAAGCACCGGCUAACUCCGUGCCAGCAGCCGCGGUAAUACGGAGGGUGCAAGCGUUAUCCGGAUUCACUGGGUUUAAAGGGUGCGUAGGUGGGCUAGUAAGUCAGUGGUGAAAUCUCCGGGCUUAACCCGGAAACUGCCAUUGAUACUAUUAGUCUUGAAUGUCGUGGAGGUAAGCGGAAUAUGUCAUGUAGCGGUGAAAUGCUUAGAUAUGACAUAGAACACCGAUAGCGUAGGCAGCUUGCUACACGAAUAUUGACACUGAGGCACGAAAGCGUGGGGAUCAAACAGGAUUAGAUACCCUGGUAGUCCACGCCCUAAACGAUGGAUACUCGACAUCAGCGAUACACUGUUGGUGUCUGAGCGAAAGCAUUAAGUAUCCCACCUGGGAAGUACGACCGCAAGGUUG
rnacentral:rRNA from 1 species